AUACGGAGGGUGCAAGCGUUAUCCGGAAUCAUUGGGUUUAAAGGGUCCGUAGGCGGGCGAUUAAGUCAGAGGUGGAAUCCCACAGCUCAACUGUGGAACUGCCUUUGAUACUGGUUGUCUUGAAUUUUAGUGAAGUAGAUAGAAUAUGUAGUGUAGCGGUGAAACGCAUAGAUAUUACAUAGAAUACCGAUUGCGAAGGCAGUCUACUAACUAACAAUUGACGCUAAUGGACGAAAGCGUGGGGAGCGAACAGGAUUAGAAACCCUAGUAGUCC
rnacentral:rRNA from 1 species